rnacentral:rRNA from 1 species
UACGUAGGGUGCGAGCGUUACUCGGAAUUACUGGGCGUAAAGCGUGCGCAGGCGGUUUUGUAAGCCAGAUGUGAAAUCCCCGGGCUUAACCUGGGAAUGGCAUUUGGGACUGCAAGGCUUGAGUGCGGCAGAGGAGACUAGAAUUCCUGGUGUAGCAGUGAAAUGCGUAGAUAUCCGGAGGAACACCAGUGGCGAAGGCGGCUUUCUGGACCGACACUGACGCUGAUGCGCGAAAGCUAGGGGAGCAAACGGG